rnacentral:rRNA from 1 species
CCGAUGAGGUGGAACGGAUAGAGCCAGCGUAUCUGGCCUGCAUUCAGCCCAAGGGCUGUCGGCGUCUGGGUGCUGCAUCUCCAGAUUGGGACAGUAUUUGGCUUGCCGACGGCAUUUGGGUGCAUUUGCAGGUGGAGUGCGCCGAGGCGCUCGAASUGGCUACAUGAACUURAUUUUGAGGCCAGCUUGCUGGUACCCGGAUUGKGGRAAGGUUGUUCAUUUUGGGUGUGCAUGGGAAAGGCUUACGGGCUCGUAUGGUGCCGAGCUGGCAGUCGGUGGCGGUCGCAUGCGACACGUACUGCGCGGUCAGUUCGGUCCUGUGCGAGCUCACAAUUCCRCUCUCGGCGUAAGAGUUGGUCAUCUAUUCGACCCGUCUUGAAACACGGACCAAGGAGUUUAUCGUGUGCGCAAGUCAUUGGGUGUUCAAAACUCAAAGGCGCAAUGAAAGUGAAGCGUCCUUUAUGGACUUGACGUGUGAUCUUGGUGCCUGCGGGUGCCAGGAGCAACAUGGCCCCAUCCUAGCUGCUUGCRGUGGGGUGGAGGAAGAGCGUACGCGGUGAGACCCGAAAGAUGGUGAACUAUUCCUGAGCAGGAUGAAGCCAGAGGAAACUCUGGUGGAAGUCCGAAGCGAUUCUGACGUGCAAAUCGAUCGUCUGACUUGG